GAUGAACGCUGGCGGCGUGCCUAAUACAUGCAAGUCGAGCGAACGGACGAGAAGCUUGCUUCUCUGAUGUUAGCGGCGGACGGGUGAGUAACACGUGGAUAACCUACCUAUAAGACUGGGAUAACUUCGGGAAACCGGAGCUAAUACCGGAUAAUAUUUUGAACCGCAUGGUUCAAAAGUGAAAGACGGUCUUGCUGUCACUUAUAGAUGGAUCCGCGCUGCAUUAGCUAGUUGGUAAGGUAACGGCUUACCAAGGCAACGAUGCAUAGCCGACCUGAGAGGGUGAUCGGCCACACUGGAACUGAGACACGGUCCAGACUCCUACGGGAGGCAGCAGUAGGGAAUCUUCCGCAAUGGGCGAAAGCCUGACGGAGCAACGCCGCGUGAGUGAUGAAGGUCUUCGGAUCGUAAAACUCUGUUAUUAGGGAAGAACAUAUGUGUAAGUAACUGUGCACAUCUUGACGGUACCUAAUCAGAAAGCCACGGCUAACUACGUGCCAGCAGCCGCGGUAAUACGUAGGUGGCAAGCGUUAUCCGGAAUUAUUGGGCGUAAAGCGCGCGUAGGCGGUUUUUUAAGUCUGAUGUGAAAGCCCACGGCUCAACCGUGGAGGGUCAUUGGAAACUGGAAAACUUGAGUGCAGAAGAGGAAAGUGGAAUUCCAUGUGUAGCGGUGAAAUGCGCAGAGAUAUGGAGGAACACCAGUGGCGAAGGCGACUUUCUGGUCUGUAACUGACGCUGAUGUGCGAAAGCGUGGGGAUCAAACAGGAUUAGAUACCCUGGUAGUCCACGCCGUAAACGAUGAGUGCUAAGUGUUAGGGGGUUUCCGCCCCUUAGUGCUGCAGCUAACGCAUUAAGCACUCCGCCUGGGGAGUACGACCGCAAGGUUGAAACUCAAAGGAAUUGACGGGGACCCGCACAAGCGGUGGAGCAUGUGGUUUAAUUCGAAGCAACGCGAAGAACCUUACCAAAUCUUGACAUCCUUUGACAACUCUAGAGAUAGAGCCUUCCCCUUCGGGGGACAAAGUGACAGGUGGUGCAUGGUUGUCGUCAGCUCGUGUCGUGAGAUGUUGGGUUAAGUCCCGCAACGAGCGCAACCCUUAAGCUUAGUUGCCAUCAUUAAGUUGGGCACCCUAAGUUGACUGCCGGUGACAAACCGGAGGAAGGUGGGGAUGACGUCAAAUCAUCAUGCCCCUUAUGAUUUGGGCUACACACGUGCUACAAUGGACAAUACAAAGGGCAGCGAAACCGCGAGGUCAAGCAAAUCCCAUAAAGUUGUUCUCAGUUCGGAUUGUAGUCUGCAACUCGACUACAUGAAGCUGGAAUCGCUAGUAAUCGUAGAUCAGCAUGCUACGGUGAAUACGUUCCCGGGUCU
rnacentral:rRNA from 1 species